GAUGGCCUCGCGUCUGAUUAGCUAGUUGGUGAGGUAACGGCCCACCAAGGCGACGAUCAGUAGCCGGACUGAGAGGUUGGCCGGCCACAUUGGGACUGAGAUACGGCCCAGACUCCUACGGGAGGCAGCAGUGGGGAAUAUUGCACAAUGGGCGAAAGCCUGAUGCAGCAACGCCGCGUGAAGGAAGACGGUUUUCGGAUUGUAAACUUCUGUUCUUAGUGAAGAAUAAUGACGGUAACUAAGGAGCAAGCCACGGCUAACUACGUGCCAGCAGCCGCGGUAAUACGUAGGUGGCAAGCGUUGUCCGGAAUUACUGGGUGUAAAGGGAGCGUAGGCGGGAAGCCAAGUCAGCUGUGAAAACUACGGGCUUAACCUGUAGACUGCAGUUGAAACUGGCUUUCUUGAGUGAAGUAGAGGUUGGCGGAAUUCCGAGUGUAGCGGUGAAAUGCGUAGAUAUUCGGAGGAACACCGGUGGCGAAGGCGGCCAACUGGGCUUUAACUGACGCUGAGGCUCGAAAGUGUGGGGAGCAAACAGGAUUAGAUACCCUGGUAGUCCACACUGUAAACGAUGAUAACUAGGUGUGGGGGGUCUGACCCCUUCCGUGCCGCAGCUAACGCAAUAAGUUAUCCACCUGGGGAGUACGACCGCAAGGUUGAAACUCAAAGGAAUUGACGGGGACCCGCACAAGC
rnacentral:rRNA from 1 species